CAAUCGAACCCGGAGAUAGCUGGUUCUCCCCGAAAUAGCUUUAGGGCUAGCGUCGGAAAGAACCUUAGUGAAGGUAGAGCACUGAAUGUGUGAUGGCCCCAUCCCGGGGUACUGAAUACAAUCAAACUGCGAAUGUCAUUAAGGAUGUCCGGCAGUCAGACUGUGAGUGAUAAGGUCCAUGGUCAAGAGGGAAACAGCCCAGACCGCCAGUUAAGGUCCCAAAAUACAGGCUAAGUGGAAAAGGAUGUGGGGAUGCCCAGACAACUAGGAGGUUGGCUCAGAAGCAGCCAUCCUUUAAAGAGUGCGUAACAGCUCACUAGUCGAGUGACCCUGCGCCGAAAAUGUACCGGGGCUAAGCCUGAUACCGAAACUGCGGAUUGUAGGAAACUAUAGUGGUAGGGGAGCGUUGUAUACGAGUAGAAGCCGUACCGUGAGGAGCGGUGGAUUGUAUAGAAGUGAGAAUGCCGGUGUGAGUAGCGAGAUGUAGGUGAGAAUCCUACACACCGAAAGCCCAAGGAUUCCAGGGGAAGGUUCGUCCGCCCUGGGUAAGUCGGGACCUAACGCGAGGCCGAAAGGCGUAGUGGAUGGAAAGCAGGCGAAAGAUUCCUGCACCCGUAUAUGGAGCGAAGGAGUGACGGAGACGGAUAGUGUGACCCUCUUAAUGGAUUGAGGGCGAAGCGAAGCGGCUGGUUACCAGGCAAAUCCGGUAACCAAAAGGCUAGAGCGUGACAGGUAAGCGAAAUCUUAGGAAAGUAGCGAAGCACAUGAUGACGGCUUCCAGGAAAAGCUUCUGGCAAUGCAUAUGCGGCCCGUACCAAAACCGACACAGGUGGGCAGGGAGAGAAUCCCGAGGUGAGCGAGAGAACUGUUGCCAAGGAACUCGGCAAAAUGACUCCGUAAGUUAGCGAGAAGGAGUGCUUAAGCAAUUAAGCCGCAGUGAAGAGGCCCAAGCGACUGUUUAACUAAAACACAGCUCUCUGCGAAGUCGCAAGACGAAGUAUAGGGGGUGACACCUGCCCGGUGCUGGAAGGUUAAGAGGAUCUGUUAAGAGCGAUCUGAAGCAGUGAUCCGAAGCCCCAGUGAACGGCGGCCGUAACUAUAACGGUCCUAAGGUAGCGAAAUUCCUUGUCAGGUAAGUUCUGACCCGCACGAAAGGUGUAACGAUUUGGGCGCUGUCUCGGCAGCAGACUCGGUGAAAUCUUAGUACCUGUGAAAAUGCAGGUUACCCGCAACUAGACGGAAAGACCCCAUGGAGCUUUACUGCAGCCUGAUAUUGAAUUCUGGUCAUACAUGUACAGGAUAGGUGGGAGACAAAGAGACGUGCACGCCAGUGUACGAGGAGUCGACGUUGGGAUACCACUCUUGUGUGACCGGGGUUCUAACCUGGUAUCGAGAACAGGUACGGGGAGAGUGUCAGGUGGGCAGUUUGACUGGGGCGGUCGCCUCCCAAAGAGUAACGGAGGCGCCCAAAGGUACGCUCAGAUUGGAUGGAAACCAAUCGUCGAGUGCAAUUGCAGAAGCGUGCUUGACUGUGAGACAGACAAGUCGAACAGGGACGAAAGUCGGGAAUAGUGAUCCGGCGGUGCCGAAUGGAAGGGCCGUCGCUCAACGGAUAAAAGCUACCCUGGGGAUAACAGGCUGAUCUCGCCCAAGAGUUCACAUCGACGGCGAGGUUUGGCACCUCGAUGUCGGCUCAUCGCAUCCUGGAGCUGGAUUCGGUUCCAAGGGUUGGGCUGUCCGCCCAUUAAAGCGGUACGCGAGCUGGGUUCAGAACGUCGUGAGACAGUUCGGUCCCUAUCUGUUGUGGGCGAAGGAGAUCUGCGGAGAGCUGUCCUCAGUACGAGAGGACCGGGAUGGACCUACCGCUGGUGCACCGGUUGUUCCGCCAGGGGCAUAGCCGGGUAGCUAAGUAGGGAAAGGAUAAGCGCUGAAAGCAUCUAAGCACGAAGCCUACUCCAAGAUGAGAUCUCCCAUUCGCAAGAAGUAAGACCCCUUAAAGACGAUAAGGUAGAUAGGCCAGGGAUGGAAGUGCAGUGAUGUACGGAGUUGACUGGUACUAAUCGGUCGAGGACUUAAUCAG
rnacentral:rRNA from 1 species